AUUGAACGCUAGCGGGAGGCUUUACACAUGCAAGUCGAACGAGUGGCGGACGGGUGAGUAAUGUCUGGGAACGUGCCCAGUGGCGGGGGAUAACUUCUGGAAACCGUAGCUAAUACCGCAUAUUCUUGCAGUGGCCGAUAUAGGAUUAGCUAGUUGGUGGGGUAAAGGCUUACCAAGGCAACGAUCCGUAGCUGGUUUGAGAGGAUGACCAGCCACACUGGGACUGAGACACGGCCCAGACUCCUACGGGAGGCAGCAGUGGGGAAUUUUGGACAAUGGGCGAAACCCUGAUCCAGCCAUCCCGCGUGUAUGAGAAGGCCUUCGGGUUGUAAAGUACUGUUAGCAGAGAAGCGGUAUCUGCAGAAUAAGCACCGGCUAACUACGUGCCAGCAGCCGCGGUAAUAC
rnacentral:rRNA from 1 species